rnacentral:tRNA from 1 species
UGCCACAUAGCACAAUUGGCCAGUGCAUCGGAAUUUGACUCCGAAGGUUCUAGGUUCGAAUCCUAGUGUGGCAACCA